rnacentral:rRNA from 1 species
GGACUACCGGGGUUUCUAAUCCCGUUUGCUCCCCACGCUUUCGCGCCUCAGCGUCAGGAGUUGCCCAGAGACCCGCCUUCGCCACCGGUGUUCCUCCCGAUCUCUACACAUUUCACCGCUACACCGGGAAUUCCAGUCUCCUCUGCAACCCUCAAGAACGGCAGUUUCGAUCGACGCUCCUCAGUUGAGCCGAGGGAUUUCACGACCGACUUGCCAUCCCGCCUACGCGCCCUUUACGCCCAGUAAUUCCGAGCAACGCUUGCCCCCUCUGUCUUACCGCGGCGGCUGGCAC